UUACGUUACUGGCAGGGGAAGCCACAUGAUCAAGAAGGGUUCACCCAGGGCGAUGCUUGGCCAUUCAGUCACUGCCAGGCAUCGGACCCCUCGAUUCCCCAAAUGUGGAUCUCGAUGCCUAAUUUGUGGUAGUGUGGGGGACUGCGUUCGCGCUCUCCCUGA